rnacentral:rRNA from 1 species
AACGAACGCUGGCGGCAUGCCUAACACAUGCAAGUCGAACGAGACCUUCGGGUCUAGUGGCGCACGGGUGCGUAACGCGUGGGAACCUGCCCUUAGGUUCGGAAUAACUCCCCGAAAGGGGUGCUAAUACCGGAUAAUGUCUUCGGACCAGAGAUUUAUCGCCUUUGGAUGGGCCCGCGUUGGAUUAGCUAGUUGGUAGGGUAAAAGCCUACCAAGGCGACGAUCCAUAGCUGGUCUGAGAGGAUGAUCAGCCACACUGGGACUGAGACACGGCCCAGACUCCUACGGGAAGCAGCAGUGGGGAAUAUUGGACAAUGGGCGAAAGCCUGAUCCAGCAAUGCCGCGUGAGUGAUGAAGGCCUUAGGGUUGUAAAGCUCUUUUACCCGGGAUGAUAAUGACAGUACCGGGAGAAUAAGCUCCGGCUAACUCCGUG